AGAUGUGUAUUGUGUAGAGUACAGUGAGUAAGGAGCUGGAGAAGGCGGGCGUGGGGGACCAGGGGGAUCUGGACAAGAGCUACUGGAUCGCCAGAGUGGGGGAGUUGUCAGUUCAGCUGCAGCAGUCGACGGAGUACUGGAAGAACAAAGUGAGAGAUGCUCAGAUGCAGGCCACAGUCCCAGACAGCCACAAGUCAGCCAACAGACAACAGCAUCAUCAGACACACCAUACAGGCCACCAUAAGGACUACUAGAACAGUCUUCUUCUAGUCUAUUCCCCCUCAUCACAAGAACAUCAGACAACCAACCAACAAACCAGCCAGACACCUUAGCCAACUGGACCAUAUAAAACAGCCAUCAAUCAGUCCAACACAAACUGUGACCUCAUCCUUUUUUUGUAAUUUUCUAUUCUAAUCUGCCGUCUUUCUGUAAAUUUGAAUCAAAUUCUUCGGUUUCUUCCUAUUGAUAGAUUUGUUUUGUAAAUAGACUGUAAAUUGUACAGCGCCUUUAUUGCCACAAUGUCUGAAAGAGUAAUACAUUCUUGAUAUCAA